rnacentral:lncRNA from 1 species
AAGGAUGGAGUAGUAACCUGUGUUCUCUGCCAAUAAAUUCCGUCGACCAAUAUGGAAUCAAAGUAUCAAACCAUGCCUGGUGCGCGCGUCCAUCGUUACAGAGCCCUGCCAUUUGUGGCAGCGUCUUGGGCCAGACACCCAUCACCGGUGGUGCGCACGAGAGGCUGCAGGAUAAAACGAGAAACCGCACCCAUACAUAUAGGCAAACCUCUCCGUAAUCCAUGCCACGCCCGUGAACGGAACCAUCACGAGAGCAGGAC